UCCUGUCCUGUACUGGCUUCCCAUAUACAAAUGUGAGGAAGACCCACAGUUCUUCAAAGUUUGGAAUAUUAAAGAGUCACCAGAGCCAGACAUCAGCAGCACCUCUGUUGGCAUUCUGACCGUCAGCAACAACAAUACAAGUUCAGUGCAUUUCUGUCCGCUCAGUACAGCAGUUGUGGUGGAAGAUGAGCUUGUGGUAGGCGACAUUCCUAAAUGGGUAUUUUUUUGAGCGCUAAUGUUUGUAGGGAAAGGGCAGACUAAGAAAAUACAGUUUUAUGUGGGAAAAGUAAAAAAAAAAA